ACACGCGUCUGGUUCGGAUGAAGCUUGAUGGAGUUUCACGUCCUCUCGUCACGGCUUGCAGAAGCGACAAAACUUCAGGAGAAUGUCUGAGAGAAAUGCUCCCGCCAAUAAAGCCCCAGAGUCAAACCCUUCACCCCCAAACCUGGACACAAGGUUUGUGAUUGGUGGACUGCGUCUGUGGUCUGGAGCAGGGGCUUGGUUGUUGUUUGCUGUUGUUUUGUUGUUAGUCGGAAUCCACCUAACUGCGGCCGGGUAUUGGAACAUUCAGCCCCGCAGACAAACAGCACAUCAUGUUUCAACUGGACGCACCUCUUCAGAGAAGCUGAGGCUGAUUGGUCCCGUCAUCAUAGGGGUGGCACUUUUUAACAUUAAUUGUGCCAAUGCACUUCUCCAUAUUUACCGUGAUAUGGAACUGG
rnacentral:lncRNA from 1 species